ensembl:scaRNA small Cajal body-specific RNA 16
AAUGGCUAUCAGCUUGCCCUAGAUGAGAACCUGGCAGCCUCCUUUUUGGGGUCUGCCCUGUGCAGUAACAGGUAUUAGCAUUCUAGCAGCAGCUUGAUGGUCAUGCAUGAUACUGCAUACAGAU